rnacentral:rRNA from 1 species
UACGUAGGGGGCGAGCGUUGUCCGAAGUUACUGGGCGUAAAGCGCGCGUAGGCGGGGGAUUAAGUGAGAGGUGAAAGGCUGGGGCUCAACCUCAUGCAGUGCCUCUCAUACUGGUUCUCUUGAGGGCGGUAGGGAGAAGUGGAAUUCCUGGAGUAGCGGUAAAAUGCGUGGAUCUCAGGAGGAACACCAAUGGCGAAGGCAGCUUCUUGGCUCAUUCCUGACGCUGAGGCGCGAAAGCUAGGGAAGCAAACAGG